rnacentral:rRNA from 1 species
UGCCCCAGUAACGGCGAGUGAAGCGGCAACAGCUCAAAUUUGAAAUCUGGCUUCGGCCCGAGUUGUAAUUUGCAGAGGAAGCUUUAGGCGCGGCACCAUCUGAGUCCCCUGGAACGGGGCGCCACAGAGGGUGAGAGCCCCGUAUAGAUGGACGCCUAGCCUGUGUAAAGCUCCUUCGACGAGUCGAGUAGUUUGGGAAUGCUGCUCUAAAUGGGAGGUAAAUUUCUUCUAAAGCUAAAUACCGGCCAGAGACCGAUAGCGCACAAGUAGAGUGAUCGAAAGAUGAAAAGCACUUUGAAAAGAGGGUUAAAUAGCACGUGAAAUUGUUGAAAGGGAAGCGCUUGUGACCAGACUUGCGCCGGGCGGAUCAUCCGGUGUUCUCACCGGUGCACUCCGCCCGGCUCAGGCCAGCAUCGGUUCUCGUGGGGGGACAAAGGUUCCGGGAACGUAGCUCCUCCGGGAGUGUUAUAGCCCGGGGCGUAAUGCCCUCGCGGGGACCGAGGACCGCGCUUCGGCAAGGAUGCUGGCGUAAUGGUCAUCAGCGACCCGUCUUGAAACACGGACCAAGGAGUCAAGGUUUUGCGCGAGUGUUUGGGUGUAAAACCCGCACGCGUAAUGAAAGUGAACGUAGGUGAGAGCUUCGGCGCAUCAUCGACCGAUCCUGAUGUUUUCGGAUGGAUUUGAGUAGGAGCGUUAAGCCUUGGACCCGAAAGAUGGUGAACUAUGCUUGGAUAGGGUGAAGCCAGAGGAAACUCUGGUGGAGGCUGGCAGCGGUUCUGACGUGCAAAUCGAUCGUCAAAUCUGAGCAU